rnacentral:rRNA from 1 species
GGUUAAGCGACUAAGCGUACACGGUGGAUGCCUAGGCAGUCAGAGGCGAUGAAGGGCGUGCUAAUCUGCGAAAAGCGUCGGUAAGGUGAUAUGAACCGUUAUAACCGACGAUACCCGAAUGGGGAAACCCAGUGCAAUUCGUUGCACUAUUGCAUGGUGAAUACAUAGCCAUGCAAGGCGAACCGGGGGAACUGAAACAUCUAAGUACCCCGAGGAAAAGAAAUCAACCGAGAUUCCCCCAGUAGCGGCGAGCGAACGGGGAGGAGCCCAGAACCUGAAUCAGCGUAUGUGUUAGUGGAAGCGUCUGGAAAGUCGCACGGUACAGGGUGAUAGUCCCGUACACAAAAAUGCAUAUGUUGUGAGUUCGAUGAGUAGGGCGGGACACGUGACAUCCUGUCUGAAUAUGGGGGGACCAUCCUCCAAGGCUAAAUACUCCUGACUGACCGAUAGUGAACCAGUACCGUGAGGGAAAGGCGAAAAGAACCCCGGCGAGGGGAGUGAAACAGAACCUGAAACCGUGUACGUACAAGCAGUGGGAGCACCUUCGUGGUGUGACUGCGUACCUUUUGUAUAAUGGGUCAGCGACUUAUAUUUUGUAGCAAG